CCUACGGGAGACAGCAGUGGGGAAUAUUGCACAAUGGGGGAAACCCUGACGCAGCAACGCCGCGUGAGUGAUGAAGCCCUUCGGGGUGUAAAGCUCUAUCAGUAGGGAAGAAACAUGACGGUACCUACCUAAGAAGCACCGGCUAACUCCGUACCAGCAGCCGCGGUAAUACGGAGGGUGCAAGCGUUUUCCGGAUUUACUGGGUGUAAAGGGUGCGUAGGUGGCACGUGAAGUCUGAGGUGAAAGGCGGAGGCUCAACUCCCGAAGGGCAUUGGAAACUGGCAAGCUUGAGUGCAGGAGAGGUAAGGGGAAUUCCUGGUGUAGCGGUGAAAUGCGUAGAUAUCAGGAGGAACAUCGGUGGCGAAGGCGGUUUACUGGACCGUAAUUGACACUGAGGCUCGAAAGCGGGGGUAGCAAAUAGGAUUAGAUACCCGAGUAGUC
rnacentral:rRNA from 1 species